rnacentral:misc_RNA from 1 species
AGCAUUUGCUGCAGAAGAAAUUGAAAAACAAAAGACUUUUUAGUUUACACAAACAGGUAUAAAAGGCCAUGCAAUAGUCUAAGCAAGCAAAUGUUUAAGUAGGAGACAUCUUUUAUUAACCAUCAUUCCCUUAUGAUUAACUUCCACUGAGACCACAAACAGGCAUAAUUUGGUCAUGGUCUCAGAACAGUUUAAUCAAUAAUAAAAAAAAAGCAACCAUGAAAAAGAAUUCAUGCUAUAAUACAUCAAAUAUAUACUGAUUACAGUUUAUCUAAUUCAGAAUCACCACCAAAAUAAGAUGUGUAUUAAUUUUUUUUUCUCCUAUGGAUAUAGCACUAGGGUUUCUGAGAACAUAUUAUUUUUCCUAGUAAAAUUCGUGCUAGAUAUGGCUGAUUAAUAAUUAUCAGAAAAGUGUAAGAACCUCAUCA